AAUAUUACUCACAUAUUCGAAUAAAAAAUCAUCAUCACCGAUCCGAUUCGCAUUCAUUCAAGAUUUUCUCUUGUAUAAUUCAUUUCAUUCAUAAUUUCAUCAUAAAUGGAUUAUCUACGUACGACGGAACUUUUCCUUUUCUGUUUUUCCAGAGGUUAUAUAUAUGAGGAAUGCUUCAAUACACCAUAAGUAUUAAAAUUUAAUUCCUAAAUUAGUAAAGGGUAUAGUUGGGAUUUACACGAAGUAACCUGUCGAACAGGUUACCGAUUUGAAUUAAUUAACAUGACAAUAUUGAAAAAAAAUUAGUAUAUACCAAAUUUGUCAGUAUUCUUUAAAUAUUAAAUAUCUUAUUUACUUUGAUAACUUACCAAAUUAGAUGAUACCCAAUUUAUUAAGUAUUCAACUCAAAAAAAUAUUGAAUUUAAAUUUAAUUUUUGAAAUUAGUAUUGUAAUGUAAAAUUUUAAUUUUGAAAUUUAUAUUAAACUUUUAAAUUUGAAUCUAAAUUGAACGUUUAAUCUUAAAGCCAAAUUUUAAUUUUUGAUUUAAAUUGAAAUUUUGAAUUGGAACAAAAAGUUUUAUUUUAAAUUUAUGUUUUAUAUUCAAAAAAAUUAAAUUUGAUUUAUAUAGUUUUAAAUGUUGUUUUAAAUUUAAAUUUACAGUUUGGUUGUAAUUUAAAAUUCAACUAUUGUUGUAGGUAUUUAAGAGGGUCACAAUAUUCUUAGUUGGAUAAAACCGGUUUUGUGGACCAAACUAUUUUACAAAGACUAAAAUACCCUUUAAAUGGAUACCUGGUGAAUGGUACCUAUGCUUCAAUAGCAGGUCACCUCUAGAAUUAUAUUAAAUCUAAACCAUCUAUUAAGAAAAAUAAAUGGUCAAGAUUUAUAUGGAGUAUUGAAGUAUUCCUCUAUAUAUAAUUCACAUAGUAAUAAUUUUUGUGGGUCUAUUUUCUUUUGUUAUUAAACAUGAGUCGAAAAUUUCUUUGAGUUUGUGUAAUUUUUGCAAUCGGUAAGAGAAAUCUUUGAACAGCCAUAAUUUUUUCUCGAAUAUCCGAUUUCAACGUGCAAUCCCUGUUGGGGAAAUAUGAAUGGAGAUCAAGUAAAUUAUGGCCUUGAGGCGUGUAAGUUCACUUUCUUUAAGGUAUUAUUUAUCCCCACUCGAAUGUAUGCUGUUGGGUUACCAGCAAAUCACCUCUAGGAUACAACAAGACCGCCGAAAGAUUGCAAACAACACUUUUGAAGACUUUCCCUUAAGAACUUCUCUCUUAAGCAUUAAUAUGAAAAUUAUGAAGGAGAAAGUAUUGAUUAUGUUGCCUUGAAGCCUUCAAACAUCUCCUAUUUAUAGAAAGUGAAUGGUUACGAUGAAAGGAUACAACUCUAAAGUUAUAUCCUUUCACAAAAGGACACAUCCUUUCACGAAUAACGAAUAGACAUACUCUUUCACAAAGGUUCAUAUCUUUUCGUGAAGAAAACAUAUCUCUUUGUGAAGAGACACAUCUUUUCAUUAAAUGAAGAGACGAAUCCUUUCAUAAGAUUAACUAUUUUAUGAACAGACACAACUAUUCACCAAUCUCACUUCCACUAUUACAAUCUACACUAAUAAUUCCCGACUAGAUUGUAAUACUGAUUUAAAAUAGACGUAUGCAUACAAGAAUGA
rnacentral:lncRNA from 1 species